AUGGGAAGAAUAGAAAGGUUGGCAUGGUUAGAGUUAUUUUGAUCAAGCAACAUCUUCACAAUGGUCUCCUUAUCUUCUUCUCUUCCAAACACACUGGAGUCAUCGAUUAUUGAACUAGUCUCAGGCCUCUCUUUUAUCUCUUUCCUGUCUGUUGCACUAAUCAUGUUUGGACCAAUGAUCUCUCUUUCCUUGACAAGCCUAUUGAGCUUCUCCUCCACCUUCUUUAUGUCUUGCAGAAUCUUGUGGUUGAAUAAACAGGUGUUGAACCAAAAGCAGCAGAAACAGCUUCUAACCUUGCUCAAAUGGUUGUCGCUGGACGGGCCUUCUAGUUUGGAUCGAAGGGCCUCAGCUGCAUAA
rnacentral:rRNA from 1 species